rnacentral:RNase_P_RNA from 22 species
CCAGUCGGCCGGAUGGCCACCGCUCAGGCGGAGGAAAGUCCGGGCUCCAUGGAAACACGGUGCCGGAUAAUGUCCGGCGAGGGUGACCUCAGGGAAAGCGCCACAGAAAGGAAACCGCCUCGCAACCGAGCCGAAAGGCGAGGACCGCGGAGGUAAGGGUGAAAGGGUGCGGCAAGAGCGCACCGCGCUUAUGGUGACAUGAGCGGCACGGCAAGCCCCACCGGGAGCAAGACCGAAUAGGGGCGACAGGCAGCGAACCCAUUCGAUGGGACGCUCAAAUCCGUUUCCAGAUUGUCGCCCGGGUUGGUUGCUCGAGGCGGCUGGCAACAGCCGUCCUAGAGGAAUGGUCAUCACGCAAGCGGUUUCGCCGCUUGCCUUACAGAACCCGGCUUACAGGCCGACUGGUAUU